GAGUUUGAUCGUGGCUCAGAUUGAACGCUGGCGGCAUGCCUUACACAUGCAAGUCGAACGGCAGCAUGAUCUAGCUUGCUAGAUUGAUGGCGAGUGGCGAACGGGUGAGUAAUACAUCGGAACGUGCCCUGUAGUGGGGGAUAACUAGUCGAAAGAUUAGCUAAUACCGCAUACGACCUGAGGGUGAAAGUGGGGGACCGCAAGGCCUCAUGCUAUAGGAGCGGCCGAUGUCUGAUUAGCUAGUUGGUGGGGUAAAGGCCCACCAAGGCGACGAUCAGUAGCUGGUCUGAGAGGACGAUCAGCCACACUGGGACUGAGACACGGCCCAGACUCCUACGGGAGGCAGCAGUGGGGAAUUUUGGACAAUGGGCGAAAGCCUGAUCCAGCAAUGCCGCGUGUGUGAAGAAGGCC
rnacentral:rRNA from 1 species